UGACUGAAAACUGGAAGCAAUAUUCUACAACCAAAAAAGGUUUCAAAAGGCGUGUGGCAAACAGAGCCACUCCUCUCUGUUGAUCCACGAGGUACUGUUGACACUGCCUCUGCAGCCCUGGGGCAACAGAAUGCCCUUCAGCCCUCUAGGGUAUGUUCCCUUCUUAGCGGAUACAGUGCCUUAAAUGCUCACUUUAGAAUGAGGCUCCUGGUCAAAGAUGCUAAGUGCCAGAAGACUCAAGGUAGAAGCUGAAGAUGUGAUCCUUAAAACUGAUAAUGUAUAGACCUCAGAAUGGCCCAGGUAUCUUUUUGACAAAGUGAUUCUCGAGGGAGUAGGAAUCAGGACAGCUACAUCUUUUUAAAAAAGUGCCUGGAAAGGACUGGAACAUAAGAUGCUGCCGGCAGAGCAGGCCAGUUUGGAAUGGGGUCGGGGGAGAGAUGGUAGAAAGCAGCAUAUGACAGCUCCAUUUAGGGAGAGGGAGACAGAAGUGAAAGGAAGGGAAAAAACUGAGCGAUGAUAGAAAGGGGUACGGAUAGAAAGGGCUGGCACAGAUUAAUAGCUGACAUGGCAGUUGGUUUUAAUUACUGGCGCAAAAUCGCAGGAGGCUCCAUUAUGAUCUGUUUCUCUAGUUGAAGAAUGACCUCUGGCUCUGCAUGCUGUAAUCCGAUUGUGGGGGUCUUGGGCUGUAAAUACUGAGGGUCUGUGGUCUGUAAUAGAAGUCUUUCCUCUUUCUGCCAGAAAAGGAGCAGGAGCUGAAAAAGCGAGGCCAGUCUUACAACUCACUGGACUUCUGGCAAGAAUCCCUCCCCAGGAUUCUCCUUUCAUUGUAAAAAGGAUUGUGUGUUUAUGUUUGGAGGAGAAACAAACAAAACUGCAUGCGUUGCUGAUACGAAGAUAAAAAACUGUUGCUAUGUAACAAAAAUAAUAUGCAUAUACAUUAUUUAGGCAAACAUUUCCACUUGCUGUCACAGAACAGACAGCCCAAAUGAAAGAGCCAUAUGAACAAGAAAUCAUGGAACCAAUCUCAAGGAAAACAAGUUUUGCUUUGGAAAAUUUCUUUCAAAAUAUAUGCACUUGAAAUCAAUUAAAUAAUAAAAUUGUAACAUUCAAUAAAUGAGGUAGAACU
rnacentral:lncRNA from 1 species